CGGUCCAUAUAAAGUACUUUUCUGAAGUAAGUCUUUCAAAGACAAGUUGUCUAUGCUUAGAUGGCUGUCACUGUCACUGUCAUCUUUGUCCGUUAUUUCACUGAUUUCACUACACAACAUUAGGCGUGCGAUAUUAUGCUUUCCACAUCGAAGAACCAGAUGAUCAAGAGUCUCCUCUUCAACGCCGCAGUCACAAAACGACGUUUGGGUAAAGUAUGCCUUGAACAACUCUCCCAGGCAGUCUUUCAUAGGAGCAUGUAUAUCCGUAUACGGUAUGUGCUGUAGUUGACUGUGGUCUUCGUCUGGAUCUCCUCUUGCUGCUGCAUCAGCUUCUUCGUUGCCAGUUAUUCCAGAGUGAGAAGACUUUUCCGGGGACACCUAUAUCUAUCAAGACUUCAACAAGGAUAGUUGGAUCAACAUUAUCGAACGCCCCCUGGACAUCAAGAAAGGCACAAACAGUGGAAGAAAAUGAAUGAAAUUAAUCUUUAAUAUCCCUUAAUAAUGCAACAUAGCUUUCUACACAACUUUUACCUUUACGAAAGCCAUACUGCUCCUUCGGUGGAUCAUCGGGUGCAUACUUAUCAAGAAAAGAUGGAAUCCAUUCACUGUUUUUUGGUCUACUAACAGAAGAAGCUCUUUUAAAUCUGCGGAUAUAAUUCCAGAUGACGGUAACAGGUGUUUGUCUAUUGAAUGAUUCACAAAGGCUUCUCCAA